rnacentral:rRNA from 1 species
CUAACACAUGCAAGUCGAGGGGCAGCGGGGAUAAGCUUGCUUAUCCGCCGGCGACCGGCGCACGGGUGCGCAACGCGUAUAGAAUCUGCCCUGUACUGGGGAAUAGCCCAGAGAAAUUUGGAUUAAUGCCCCAUGGUAUGUAUUAGCGGCAUCGCUUAUACAUUAAAGGCUACGGUACAGGAUGACUAUGCGUCCCAUUAGUUAGUUGGUAAGGUAACGGCUUACCAAGGCAGCGAUGGGUAGGGGCCCUGAGAGGGGGAUCCCCCACACUGGUACUGAGACACGGACCAGACUCCUACGGGAGGCAGCAGUGAGGAAUAUUGGACAAUGGGCGGGAGCCUGAUCCAGCCAUGCCGCGUGCAGGAAGACGGUCCUAUGGAUUGUAAACUGCUUUUGUACCGGGAAGAACAAAGGGCACCGUGUGCCCCUCUGACGGUACCGUAAGAAUAAGGAUCGGCUAACUCCGUGCCAGCAGCCGCGGUAAUACGGAGGAUCCGAGCGUUAUCCGGAAUCAUUGGGUUUAAAGGGUCCGUAGGCGGGCCAUUAAGUCAGGGGUGAAAGUCUGCGGCUCAACCGUAGAAUUGCCCUUGAUACUGGUGGUCUUGAGUUAUGGUGAAGUAACUAGAAUAUGUAGUGUAGCGGUGAAAUGCAUAGAUAUUACAUAGAAUACCGAUUGCGAAGCAGGUUACUAACCAUAUACUGACGCUGAUGGACCAAAGCGUGGGGAGCGAACAGGAUUAGAUACCCUGGUAGUCCACGCCGUAAACGAUGGAUACUACUGUCCGGAUGCAAAUCUGGGC